rnacentral:rRNA from 1 species
AACGAACGUUGGCGGCGUGGAUUAGGCAUGCAAGUCGCACGAAUCCCAUUUGGGUAACUGAGUGGGGGAAGUGGCGAAAGGGGCAGUAAGGCAUGGGUAACUUGCCCUGGAGUCCGGAAUAGCCAUCCUAACGGAUGGGUAAUACCGGAUGUCGUACCUGGAGGGCCUCCUUCGGGUACGAAAGUUCAGGCGCUCCGGGAGGGGCCCAUGUAGUAUUAGCUAGUUGGUGAGGUAACGGCUCACCAAGGCCAAGAUGCUUAGCAGGUGUGAGAGCACGACCUGCGCCACUGGCACUGGGACACUGGCCAGACUCCUACGGGAGGCUGCAGUCGAGGAUCUUCGGCAAUGGGCGCAAGCCUGACCGAGCGACGCCGCGUGUGCGAUGAAGGCCUUCGGGUUGUAAAGCACUGUCGGGGGGGAGAAAGCCGCAAGGCUUGAUCGACCCCCGGAGGAAGCACGGGCUAAGUUCGUGCCAGCAGCCGCGGUAAU